rnacentral:rRNA from 1 species
GUGCCAGCAGCCGCGGUAAUACGUAGGGUGCGAGCGUUGUCCGGAAUUACUGGGCGUAAAGAGCUCGUAGGUGGUUUGUCGCGUCGUUUGUGUAAGCCCGCAGCUUAACUGCGGGACUGCAGGCGAUACGGGCAUAACUUGAGUGCUGUAGGGGAGACUGGAAUUCCUGGUGUAGCGGUGGAAUGCGCAGAUAUCAGGAGGAACACCGAUGGCGAAGGCAGGUCUCUGGGCAGUAACUGACGCUGAGGAGCGAAAGCAUGGGUAGCGAACAGGAUUAGAUACCCUGGUAGUCCAUGCCGUAAACGGUGGGCGCUAGGUGUGAGGGUCUUUUCACGACUUUCGUGCCGUAGCUAACGCAUUAAGCGCCCCGCCUGGGGAGUACGGCCGCAAGGCUAAAACUCAAAGGAAUUGACGGGGGCCCGCACAAGCGGCGGAGCAUGUGGAUUAAUUCGAUGCAACGCGAAGAACCUUACCAAGGCUUGACAUAUAUCGGAAUCGGCUAGAGAUAGUCGCGCCCUUUGGGUCGGUAUACAGGUGGUGCAUGGUUGUCGUCAGCUCGUGUCGUGAGAUGUUCGGUUAAGUCCGGCAACGAGCGCAACCCUUGUCCUAUGUUGCCAGCACGUUAUGGUGGGAACUCAUGGGAUACUGCCGUGGUCAACACGGAGGAAGGUGGGGAUGACGUCAAAUCAUCAUGCCCCUUAUGUCUUGGGCUUCACGCAUGCUACAAUGGCCGGUACAAUGGGCUGCGAUACCGCGAGGUGGAGCGAAUCCCAAAAAGCCGGUCUCAGUUCGGAUUGGGGUCUGCAACUCGACCCCAUGAAGUCGGAGUCGCUAGUAAUCGCAGAUCAGCAUUGCUGCGGUGAAUACGUUCCCGGGCCUUGUACACACCGCCCGUCAAGUCAUGAAAGUUGGUAACACCCGAAGCCGGUGGCCCAAACUUGUUAGGGAGCCGUCGAAGGUGGGAUCGGCGAUUGGGACGAAGUCGUAACAAGGUA